rnacentral:rRNA from 1 species
UACGAAGGGUGCAAGCGUUAAUCGGAAUUACUGGGCGUAAAGCGUGCGUAGGCGGUUUCUUAAGUCUGCUGUGAAAGCCCUGGGCUCAACCUGGGAAUGGCGGUGGAUACUGAGAAGCUGGAGUACGGUAGAGGAAGGUGGAAUUCCCGGUGUAGCGGUGAAAUGCGUAGAGAUGUGGAGGAACACCAGUGGCGAAGGCGACUCUUUGGCCUGUAACUGACGCUGAGGCGCGAAAGCGUGGGGAGCAAACAGG